rnacentral:rRNA from 1 species
UUCCAGACUCCUACGGGAGGCAGCAGUGAGGAAUAUUGGUCAAUGGGCGGAAGCCUGAACCAGCCAAGUCGCGUGAGGGAAGAAGGCCCUGCGGGUCGCAGACCUCUUUGGACGGGGAGCAAGGCCGCCGACGUGUCGGCGGAAGGAGAGUACCCGUAGAACAAGCAUCGGCUAACUCCGUGCCAGCAGCCGCGGUAAUACGGAGGAUGCGAGCGUUAUCCGGAUUUAUUGGGUUUAAAGGGUGCGUAGGCGGGCAUUUAAGCCGGCGGUCAAAUGUCGGGGCUCAACCCCGGCCUGCCGUCGGAACUGGGUGCCUUGAGUGGGCGAGAAGUAUGCGGAAUGCGUGGUGCAGCGGUGAAAUGCAUAGAUAUCACGCAGAACUCCGAUUGCGAAGGCAGCGUACCGGCGCCCAACUGACGCUGAAGCACGAAGGCGUGGGUAUCGAACAGGAUUAGAUACCCGAGUACU